rnacentral:rRNA from 1 species
GAUGAACGCUGGCGGCGUGCCUAACACAUGCAAGUCGAGCGUGAACCCUGCGAAUGAAACUUCGGUCGAUUUUGCAGGGGGAAAGCGGCGGACGGGUGAGUAACGCGUAGGUAACCUGCCCCAUACUGAGGGAUAGCCUCGGGAAACCGGGAUUAAUACCUCAUAACACCGUAUAUUCGCAUGGAUGUGCGGUCAAAGAUUUAUCGGUAUGGGAUGGGCCUGCGUCUGAUUAGCUGGUUGGUGGGGUAACGGCCUACCAAGGCGACGAUCAGUAGCCGACCUGAGAGGGUGAUCGGCCACAUUGGAACUGAGACACGGUCCAAACUCCUACGGGAGGCAGCAGUGGGGAAUAUUGCACAAUGGGCGAAAGCCUGAUGCAGCAACGCCGUGUGAGCGAAGAAGGCCUUUGGGUCGUAAAGCUCUGUCGGUAGGAAGAUAAUGACGGUACUACCCGAGGAAGCCCCGGCUAACUACGUGCCAGCAGCCGCGGUAAUGAGUAGUACAC